ACGGAAGGCAGCAGUGGGGAAUAUUGCACAAUGGGGGAAACCCUGAUGCAGCAACGCCGCGUGAGUGAAGAAGUAUUUCGGUAUGUAAAGCUCUAUCAGCAGGGAAGAUAAUGACGGUACCUGACUAAGAAGCCCCGGCUAACUACGUGCCAGCAGCCGCGGUAAUACGUAGGGGGCAAGCGUUAUCCGGAUUUACUGGGUGUAAAGGGAGCGUAGGCGGCGAUGCAAGCCAGAUGUGAAAACCCGGGGCUCAACCCCGUGGACUGCAUUUGAAACUGUAUUGCUAGAGUAUCGGAGAGGUUAGUGGAAUUCCUAGUGUAGCGGUGAAAUGCGUAGAUAUUAGGAAGAACACCGGUGGCGAAGGCGGCUAACUGGACGAAAACUGACGCUGAGGCUCGAAAGCGUGGGGAGCAAACAGGAUUAGAUACCCUGGUA
rnacentral:rRNA from 1 species